CCGUCGGUCGUUUGGUCGCUUUAUUGGGCGGUCAAUUGGUCUACCGCUUUAGCGCUCACUCAUUCGCCUGUUCGCUUGCUUGUCCGCCGCUGCUGUUUUCGACUCUCACGUCUACGUUUCUCUGUUCGCAUCUCUUUGUGGAUCCACCGUCUGUCCGGCGCGGCGCGGUGUGGCGGUUCGUUUGAGGAGUCAGUGGAACGGUAAUUGUUCACCAUCUUCUGCGCGCACACUGUUUUUCGUACCUUGACAUAAAAAUCUUUCACUUCUUCGCCAGCGCUUUAGUUCAAUUUCGAACGGCUUCAUGUCUGGACACAUUAUUUUAACGACGGAGUUGGCUACGCGACGCGAGUGAACGGUGGAAUCGGUGUAGGCAGCCAGAAGAUAGUGUUCGUACGGAACACGGUGCGCAAAAAAAAAACUUGCUAAAGAGAUUAUUCAACGCGAAAACGUUUUGAUUUUAUUUUACUUUUUGUUUAUUUCAAAAUUUUUGUUUUCUGUCGCACUCGAUUUGUUGCAAAGUCUGGAGCUUGAGGUUUCCACACCUGCGCAGUCGCUGACGCUUGACAUUCAGCAGCGAGCAGACUAAUCGAACGCUUCACUCGUCAGCACCGCUCGUACCGCGUAUGUACGUCGUUGGCCGCGUUUGCAUUAUUCAAUUCAUAAAAAAAAUACAGAAAGUGACCAUCGGCAGCAGUAAAGUAAUACUUUUCAUUAUCACUCAUUGAUAUCAUCGAAGUUGGCAGCGACUUUUUUCACAUUGCCUUUUUAUUUGCUAUCAACAUUUUUGCCACCGACGAUGCCCAACAACAACAUUUUUUGUGCGUUGGCUGUUCGCGUAACGCCUGAAUUUCUGUGCGCGUGCGUGUGAGCGUUUGCAUUGUUGACGUUGACCACUUUGUGCGAGAAAGUGAAAUUAACGGAGAAAUUUUCAGCAUUCCAAAACGAAAAGAACUGUGUGUCUUCUUCGAUAUUCGAGUUAAAGAAUCAGAAAAGUAAGGCGUAGACCAAGCAAAUGAGAAUUAAGACGGCUGAUUCGCGCGAAACGUCAACUCGAAAACUGACGUGCUUUUUUGUUUUAAAUAAAGAAAAAAACCGAAAGCUACACAAGGCCAGUGACCUAAUUACAAAGUUUCUUACUUGUUUAUCAAAGAGUUUUGGUUAACUUUAAAGUAUGCAACAAAAGAAAAAACACAGCAGCCGAGAUAAGCAAAUAUUUUGUGUAACAUAAUUUGCAUAAAAUUUGGUAAUAUUUAAAAAACGAGUGUUGGGAUAAAAA